UGGGGAAUAUUGCACAAUGGGCGCAAGCCUGAUGCAGCCAUGCCGCGUGUAUGAAGAAGGCCUUCGGGUUGUAAAGUACUUUCAGCGGGGAGGAAGGCGAUAAGGUUAAUAACCUUGUCGAUUGACGUUACCCGCAGAAGAAGCACCGGCUAACUCCGUGCCAGCAGCCGCGGUAAUACGGAGGGUGCAAGCGUUAAUCGGAAUUACUGGGCGUAAAGCGCACGCAGGCGGUCUGUCAAGUCGGACGUGAAAUCCCCGGGCUCAACCUGGGAACUGCAUUCGAAACUGGCAGGCUAGAGUCUUGUAGAGGGGGGUAGAAUUCCAGGUGUAGCGGUGAAAUGCGUAGAGAUCUGGAGGAAUACCGGUGGCGAAGGCGGCCCCCUGGACAAAGACUGACGCUCAGGUGCGAAAGCGUGGGGAGCAAACA
rnacentral:rRNA from 1 species